UUACGGCCACAUCACGUCGAAACACCGAUUCCUGUACGAUCACAGAAGUUAAGCAACCUUGAGCUUGGUCAGUACCUUUAUGGGUCACCACUUGGGAAUGUCAGGUGUUGUAA